rnacentral:rRNA from 1 species
CACGAACCGUACGAACGUUAUUCGGAAUUAUUGGGCUUAAAGGGCGUGUAGGCGGUCAAGUAAGUGGGAUGUGAAAUCCCUCGGCUCACCCGAGGACCUGCAUCCCAAACUGCUUGGCUUGAGUAUGGGAGAGGAUGAGGGAAUUCCUGGUGUAGCGGUGAAAUGCGUAGAUAUCAGGAGGAACACCGGUGGCGAAGGCGCUCAUCUGGCCCAAUACUGACGCUGAGGCGCGAAAGCUAGGGGAGCAAACGGG